UCCGGUGCAUUUGUCCUCCAACACCAGGGAAAAUGAGAGUUUGGAUCUAUUUAGUUUUCAUUGUUGCAGCUUUGCAAGGUGUCUGGUCCCAGGUCCAGCUGGUGGAGUCCGGAGGGGAUGUGAAAAAGCCCGGAGACUCUCUCCGCCUCUCCUGCAAAGCCUCCGGCUUCACCUUCAGCAGCUACAGUAUGAUCUGGGCUCGCCAAGCUCCUGGGAAGGGGCUGGAAUGGGUCGCUUAUCUCAACAGCGCUGGGGGCGAUAUACGCUACCUUGAUUCAGUGAAAGGCCAAUUCACCAUCUCCAGGGACAAUUCCAAGAGUGAGCUGUAUCUGCAAAUGACCAGCCUGAAACCCAAGGACACCGCCCGCUAUUACUGUGCAAGAGAUCUUCUCACCUCUCCCAGUCCGGAAGGGAAGAUGCCCAGUGUGACGCUGUCAGACCAAGUGCCAGCUCAUGCCAAGGCCCCCCAGGCUGGAGCCAGCCUCGUUUACCUACGGGAGCCCGGGAAGGGGCUGGAGUGGCUGGCCAGGUACUAUGAUCCCUCCAUCCACAGUUACGCCUCCUCCAUGCAGGGGAGAUCUACAGCCUUCGAGGACAGCACCACUUUCUGCUUGCACAUGAACAGCCUGAAAGCCGAGGGCACCGCGGUGUAG